UUCUGUAGCUCCCCCAUCUCCAACAACCACACCUUCUCCCGCCCCUCUUUCUUCUGCACAUCGAAUACCAUCAACAAAUUAAGCAAAACUACCAUCAAGUUCCCACUUCCCAGGUUAGGUUCUGAUUUGUAAAGUGUGGAGGGUUCCGAGUUCGAUUUGUAAACAUAGGCAAUGAUGCGGCUUCUAUUGAAAACUAGGGUUCCGAUUUGAAAAUGAUUUUUCUAUCGGUGGAAAUAUCAAUUGAUUCAUCCUUCACAUCUCCAUCCAUCUGCGUUCUGUUUUGGAUUUCGAAGGGCUGCGUUCUGUUGAGUUAAUUGCACGUUUGAUCAAAUGGUUUGUACAUUCUUUCACAAGUUGUUGAGAUACCUAUCUUCGGAAGAUGAUAGCAAUGAUGACCUUGAUGAGGAUGUCAAAGAACAAUAAAAUCCAGUAUAUCCCUCGAAUCUAUUUCGACUGAGAUUUCGGAUGAGUCGUCCUUUAUUUCUCCGUAUUCUAGAUAGAUCUUCUGUUUUCACGGAACUUACACAAGGGCGUGCUCCACCAGUCAAUUACACAGUCAACGGCCACGACUAUAUUAUGGGGUAUUACCUUGCAGAUGGUAUUUAUCCUAAAAACGAUUUCAUCACCAAGAGGGAACAAGAAUAAACAUUUUGCAAAAACACAAGAAUCUGCAAGAAAAGAUGUCGAGCGAGCAUUUGGUGUACUUCAACAACGAUUUGCAACCAUUCGAGGUUCUCUGAUCUGAUCUAACUGGAACAGACUAUAGUGAAAGAGCAUCCUGAAUAUCCUGAUGGUCCUGUUAAAGGAUUAUGUAUUGGGAGUCCAUCUCAAAACUUGUAGCUCCUGGUGGCUUAGUGGUAAGCUUGACCAGCCCUUAUGUAUUGGCCAGCCCUUCAUGUUUGGAGGAUCCGUUGGGUCGCGUGGCACCACUGUCACAUUUGUGCGUAGCUAGACUGGUUAAUACCUAGCGUGCUGUUUGUGUUUUUGGGUGUGUUUGUUGUGUGGCUCGGUAAUUUGCUUUGUUACCUAAAUACUACUGUUCAACCCACAUUCUAAAGAGUGUUAACAGUCCAGUUUGGCUAAUUUUGACAAAAAUUCUCGGCUGAAUGCCUAAACCGCCAACUAUGGUUUUGGAAAACAACAAGACCUUGUAUGUAUAUCGGCAAAGAUGGUAUCUAUGUGUCAGCAAUUUUUUCUUGUUGGUUUAUGAUGAUAUAAUUAGUAGUUAA
rnacentral:lncRNA from 1 species